AAAGUACUCCCUCCGUCCCAAAAUUCUUGUCUUAAAUUUGUCUAGAUACGGAUGUAUAGAUACAUCUGUAUCUAGACAAAUCUAAGACAGGAAAUUUGGGACAGAGGGAGUAGUUG
rfam:Triticum urartu cultivar G1812 contig1104162, whole genome shotgun sequence.